rnacentral:rRNA from 1 species
UGCAAGUCGGACGGUAGCACAGAGAGCUUGCUUUUGGGUGACAAGUGGGGGACGGGGGAGUAAUGUGUGGGGAUCUGCCCGAUAGAGGGGGAUAACCCCUGGGAACGGGGGGUAAUACCGCAUAACGUCGCAAGACCAAAGAGGGGGACCUUUGGGCCUCUCACUAUCGGAUGAACCCACAUGGGAUUAGCUAUUAGGCGGGGUAAUGGCCCACCUAUGCGACAAUCCCUAUCUGGUCUGAGAGGAUGACCACCCACACUGGAACUGAGACACGGUCCACACUCCUACGGGAGGCGGCAGUGGGGAAUAUUGCACAAUGGGCGCAAGCCUGAUGCACCCAUGCCGCGUGUAUGAAAAAAGCCUUCGGGUUGUAAAGUACUUUCAGCGGGGAGGAAGGCGACGGGGUUAAUAACCCUGUCGAUUGACGUUACCCGCAGAAAAAACACCGGCUAACUCCGUGCCACCAGCCGCGGUAAUACGGAGGGGGCAAGCGUUAAUCGGAAUUACUGGGCGUAAAGCGCACGCACGCGGUCUGUUAAGUCAGAUGUGAAAUCCCCGGGCUUAACCUGGGAACUGCAUUUGAAACUGGCAGGCUUGAGUCUUGUAGAGGGGGGUAGAAUUCCA